rnacentral:lncRNA from 1 species
UUCUUUUCUUCUUAUUCUUCUGGGUUCACAAACACACGACACCAAAAGGACACACAAGUACAGAGGCUAUUUUUCUUCUUUUCCUUUUUCUGCUAUUUGGCGCACACACACACAUGGAUGGGGUGGACAGACCUUAAAUCAAGAGAGUAGGAGAGAUAGAUAGAGGGUAAAGCAGUGGAGAGAGGGAGAGAGGAAGAGAGAGAGUGAAGCAACGGGUGAGGGAUAGAGACCGCCAAACUCGUGUGGGAAACCAGAUCUCGCCGGUGAUUCGGCACCGACCAAGUCCACUCCUAAAAAAUAGCUUCGUUAUUCACUGAAAAACACUCAAAAACCCAACCAAAGUUGACCCGUCUUUAUCCUUCCCAUCGCAUAUCAUCGAAAAAUUUCAUCAGUGAUGCAAAUGGGUGCGCAAUUUCACAAGUGACUCAAAUCUUGGUCAAAUUUAGUUGUCAUUAUUUGGGUUUUCCUUUCGAGUCAUUGCGGAGCUCUUUUCGAAUUGGAUUUCGAGGAAUUUUGUGUUAGAAUUAGUUUAAAGUUGAGAUCUCGGUGUUCGUUGAGGUUCCAAUGAGGCCGAAUUCAUGAGCUCCGGUUAGCUGCACAAUUUGAAAUCAAAAGUGCAAUCAAAUAAUAAUCGUAGUUCGAAACACUCAAUUUAAGGUCCAUCUCUCAAGUCUUAUUCUCAGUUAAUUCUUAGUUUUUAUGUGAUUUAUUGAUAUCGUCUCAAUUUUUCUCUUAUUUUGUGCAUGAUGUGAAUGAUGGAUGUUAUAUUGUAUUGACAAUGGAUGGUUAAAAUUAUUAAUUGUGAAUUGUGGAAAUUUGGUGUUAAAAGGGAAUUCGGGGUGCGAAUUAAAAAUUGUUAAAGUGAAUUAUGAUUAAUUUUGAUUUGUUGUUGUUUUGAUUCAUCGUUAUUGUUAGUUUCAUGUCUAAUUGACAAUUUCGCAAUAGAAUCAUGAUAGGUCAAAUGAGAUAGGCAAUAGUAGGCUCGGGUAGGCAAAUUAAGAACUUGUGGAUGAUGGAAUGUUCGAAAUGUAUGUUGAAUGGCUUUGUUUUAUCGCAUUUGAAUCAAUUGUACUCAUUUGGCCGGGGAAUGCCCCGAGGUAUCUGUAUUGCUUUAUCUGAGGAAUGCCCCAAGAAAGUUGUACUGGAAGAUGGCGCAUGGUCAAGGCCCAGAACGUCGGGUGGAGUUUAGCUUAGAAUAGAAUAGGAUUUACAUUUCUACAUUUUUAUUUCAGAACUGUAUAAUUCGGACUCGACAUUAUUUUGGUUUUGAAUUUUUUUGUUUGUUUGUUUGAUUGGUUUGUGUGUUUUUUUGUGUGGUUUAUACAUUCUAUAGUGUCAAAUUAGCCGAUAUUAUAGACACCUAAUUUCGUCCCUCCCCGAUGACGUUUUUACCCAUUCUUAUUUUAUCCUACCGUGUACCCUCACCCAUGUUAUUAUACCCUCACAAAAUACAAAAAAAAAAACAAAAAAUAAAUAAAAUAACAAAAUCCCUAACAAAACCUAUCCUAACUAAUUCUAUCUUAUCCUAACAACCUACCCAAUCAAAAUAAACCACACCAUCCCAUACCCUACCCCACCUACCCUACCCCAAUACCUACCUCACAAUAUAUACACACAUACUCAGAGAAGAACAGCAUACAGAUCACAGCUCCCAUCCAUUUUUCUUCUUCUUAUAUUCAACACAAACAGUAACAAGAAAAGGGAGAGCACGGACGAUCUUUCUUUUUCUUUCAUUUUUUUUCAUAAUCCACAAUUUUUCAUCUUCUUCACUCGCAUCUCACUGGAAACACACUCACGGACACACAAAUACACAUAUAAUUCACACCCCACUCUCUAUUGACAGUACAUACGCACACACUCGCGGGUGACGGGAAAUAUACACGCACCAUCGCCAGAGACCACACAGCUGACUGGAAUCCACACAUACGCCUACACACAGAGAGAGAAUUAAGGUUGAAAGAUUGAGAGAGGAAGAGAGAUCGAGAGAAAAUAGAAAAAUGGAGAGGAAUAGAAAUAGAGAAAAGGAGGAGGAGAAUGAGUUGAUCGGAAUAGAGGGAUUUUAGAGUUUUUCGGUGAGAUCUCACCGGAGAACUGCCGGGAAAACUCAUCGGAGAGCCGAAAAUACAGCAGCAACAAUAACCAGCUCCAAAGCCCUCCUAAAAUCUGAUUAAACUAGUGUCCAAUUACUCUGUUGCCAUCACUGUCACUGUCCAACAGUGGGUAUCUACCGAAAAAGCAUUUGAGUCGACGUCUUUGUCCUGUUUCAGCAAAAUAUAUCAUUAAAUGGGCGAAAAUCCUAGAAAUUGGCCUCAUUCAUUUUAACAGGUCAUAUCAGUGUUUUCUCCGUCUUUUAUUUUGGCUAGAUUCGGGCUUUGCUUUGCGAUGCCGAGUGGUAUAAGGCUGUUUGGGGUCGAGUUUGGUCAUUGUGGAGGUUCGGCUCGGGGUUUCGAAACGACUUUAUUUUUCUUAAUCAAGCCAGAAUAUUCUGAAGGUCCAUUUCUUAACCCGCUCUCUUUUAUUUAUCUUGGUGUAUCAAAUUGGUUGUGAUUAUGUUUGGUGUUAUUAUGUUUGUUGGUUUUAUUGUUGAUAUUGAUCAUUGCGUUUGUUGAUUCGGCUAUGGUGGGUUGAGGAAAGAAUUUGACCAUGUGUUGAUUGUUGAUUGAUAAAAAUGAAGCUACUGCGGGUCGAAUUGAGAACUUGAUAAAAAGGGAUGUAAUAGAUUGACGUGGGUUUAUUAUUAUUUAUGUUCAAUCCAAAAUAUGUAAACAUUGAGUGAAUGUGAUUGAUUUAUGACAUGUUGAAAUGGACAGGCAAUAUAGGUUUGGGUAGGCAAAUUUUAGAAUUAAGUGCUUUGUUGGAUGUGACCGUGGAGUAAGUGUUGAAUGUUUUCUACUUUAUCACAUUCGAUUCAAAGUGUAUUUAUUUAACCAGGGAAUACCCCGAAGUUGCCCCAAAAUAUUUUGUACGCAAAGGAUGCUCGUGAUCAAGGCCCGAGGCAUCGGGUAAAGCAUAGUUUAGGACUAGUGUAGGUUAUUUUAGUAUUUUUAUUUCAGGUUGUAAUAAUUGGACUGGACUUUACAUUUUGUUUUGUUUUGUUUACUGUUUGAUUAUUUUGCGUGCUUUUGUGUGGUUUCUACAUUUUGUAAUGCCAAAAUAGUUGAUACACUCCACCCAAGCGAUCGUGGCUGAACCACGGGAUCGAGGGGUGCCUAA